rnacentral:rRNA from 1 species
UUCUGGCUCAGGAUGAACGCUAGCUACAGGCUUAACACAUGCAAGUCGAGGGGCAGCAUGGGAUAGCUGCUAUUCAGAUGGCGACCGGCGCACGGGUGAGUAACGCGUAUCCAACCUCCUGCCAGUAGGGAACAGCCCGGCGAAAGUCGGAUUAAUGCCCUAUGUUCUUCAAUGCGGACAUCUAAGUUGAAGGAAAGAUUCAUCGCUGGCAGAUGGGGAUGCGUCCGAUUAGCUUGCCGGCGGGGUAACGGCCCACCGGGGCGACGAUCGGUAGGGGUUCUGAGAGGAAGGUCCCCCACACUGGUACUGAGACACGGACCAGACUCCUACGGGAGGCAGCAGUGAGGAAUAUUGGUCAAUGGGCGUAAGCCUGAACCAGCCAAGUAGCGUGCAGGGAAUGACGGCCCUACGGGUUGUAAACUGCUUUUAUGCGGGGAUAAAGUGCGGCACGUGUGCCGCUUUGCAGGUACCGCAUGAAUAAGGACCGGCUAAUUCCGUGCCAGCCGCAGC